rnacentral:rRNA from 1 species
AUGGCCGGUCGCUCCAGCAGCAUGGCCCACGUUCACCACCACGCCAACGGAGUACCCGGAGGCAAGGCCAAAGACGGAGCUGGAGCGCUUGGUCGCCCUCCCACGCGCAGCUACAGCCACAGUCAGCGGCACAGCCAGCAGCCUUCCCGCCGCUCGCAUCAUCGGCGCAGCCACAGCCACAGCGAAGGCGAGCCGACCAAGCACAGGCAGCCCGGGUGCAAGCAGCUGACCGGUGAAACGAUGGGUGGAUUAGCCACCGCGAGCUGCCUCCUCCCGUGCGCGGUGGUGGACUUCGCCUUCCUCGCCACGGUACGCGCGCCGGUGGCGCUGUGCCGCCGCGCGGUGCCAGGUAGCCGGCUCAGGCGCUCGGCCUCGGUGGGAGAGGCGGAGAUGGCGAAGCUCCGCGAGGAGGCGGACAGCGUGCUCAAGUUCGGCAGGACGGCGUCGGCGUGGCCGGCAAUGGCCCCAGCGGAGGAGGAAAAGGAGCUGGAGAAUCAGGUGUGGGCGAGUUUCCGCGACGCAGGCUUCGGGAGGACCUCGAAGCAUCUCGACAACGAUAUCAGUUGA